rnacentral:tRNA from 1 species
ACGCCACUAGCUCAAUGGAAGAGCGUCGGCCUCCAAAGCCGCGUAUCGGGUUCGACUCUUCAGUGGCGUG